rnacentral:rRNA from 1 species
UACGUAGGGUGCAAGCGUUGUCCGGAAUUAUUGGGCGUAAAGAGCUCGUAGGCGGUUUGUCGCGUCGAAUGUGAAAACCCGGGGCUCAACCCCGGGCCUGCAUUCGAUACGGGCAGACUAGAGUUCGGUAGGGGAGUCUGGAAUUCCUGGUGUAGCGGUGAAAUGCGCAGAUAUCAGGAGGAACACCGGUGGCGAAGGCGGGACUCUGGGCCGAUACUGACGCUGAGGAACGAAAGCUAGGGGAGCGAAUGGG